rnacentral:rRNA from 1 species
ACGGAGGGUGCAAGCGUUAAUCGGAUUUAUUGGGCGUAAAGGGCGCGUAGGCGGGAAUGUAAGUCAGAUGUGAAAUCCCAAGGCUCAACCUUGGAACUGCAUUUGAAACUACAUUUCUUGAGGGUAGGCGGAGAAAACGGAAUUCCACAUGUAGCGGUGAAAUGCGUAGAUAUGUGGAAGAACACCGGUGGCGAAGGCGGUUUUCUAGCUUAUUCCUGACGCUGAAGCGCGAAAGCAAGGGGAGCAAACAGG